rnacentral:rRNA from 1 species
GACGGAGGGGGCUAGCGUUGUUCGGAAUUACUGGGCGUAAAGCGCGCGUAGGCGGCCGGUCAAGUUAGGCGUGAAAGGCCUGGGCUCAACCUGGGAACGGCGCUUAAGACUGAUCGGCUGGAGUCCGGGAGAGGGUGGUGGAAUUCCCAGUGUAGAGGUGAAAUUCGUAGAUAUUGGGAAGAACACCGAUGGCGAAGGCAGCCAUCUGGACCGACACUGACGCUGAGGCGCGAAAGCGUGGGGAGCAAACAGG